rnacentral:rRNA from 1 species
AUUGAACGCUGGCGGAAUGCUUUACACAUGCAAGUCGAACGGCAGCACGGGGGCAACCCUGGUGGCGAGUGGCGAACGGGUGAGUAAUGUAUCGGAACGUGCCCAGUCGUGGGGGAUAACGUAGUGAUAAUUACGCUAAUACCGCAUACGAUCUACGGAUGAAAGCGGGGGAUCGCAAGACCUCGCGCGAUUGGCGCGGCCGAUAUCAGAUUAGGUAGUUGGUGGGGUAAAGGCUCACCAAGCCAACGAUCUGUAGCUGGUCUGAGAGGACGACCAGCCACACUGGAACUGAGACACGGUCCAGACUCCUACGGGAGGCAGCAGUGGGGAAUAUUGCGCAAUGGACGAAAGUCUGACGCAGCAACGCCGCGUGAGUGAAGAAGGCCUUUGGGUUGUAAAGCUCUUUCGGCUGGGGAGAAGGGGUAUGCUGUGAAUAGCAGUGUAUUUUGAUUGUACCAGAAGAAGAAGCACCGGCUAACUUCGUGCCAGCAGCCGCAGUAA